GACGAACCGUGCGAACGUUGUUCGGAUUCACUGGGCUUAAAGGGCGCGUAGGCGGCUCGCCGAGUCAGGGGUGAAAUCGUCCGGCUCAACCGGACAAGCGCUUCUGAUACUGGCGGGCUGGAGGGAGGUAGGGGCGACUGGAACUUCCGGUGGAGCGGUGAAAUGCGUAGAUAUCGGAAAGAACACCAACGGCGAAAGCACUCUGCUGGGCCGACACUGACACUGAGAGACGAAAGCUAGGGGAGCGAAUGGG
rnacentral:rRNA from 1 species